UGGGGAAUAUUGCACAAUGGGCGCAAGCCUGAUGCAGCCAUGCCGCGUGUAUGAAGAAGGCCUUCGGGUUGUAAAGUACUUUCAGUCGGGAGGAAGGUGGUAAGGUUAAUAACCUUAUCAAUUGACGUUACCGACAGAAGAAGCACCGGCUAACUCCGUGCCAGCAGCCGCGGUAAUACGGAGGGUGCAAGCGUUAAUCGGAAUUACUGGGCGUAAAGCGCACGCAGGCGGUCUGUCAAGUCGGAUGUGAAAUCCCCGGGCUCAACCUGGGAACUGCAUUCGAAACUGGCAGGCUAGAGUCUUGUAGAGGGGGGUAGAAUUCCAGGUGUAGCGGUGAAAUGCGUAGAGAUCUGGAGGAAUACCGGUGGCGAAGGCGGCCCCCUGGUCAAAGACUGACGCUCAGGUGCGAAAGCGUGGGGAGCAAACAGG
rnacentral:rRNA from 1 species